rnacentral:rRNA from 1 species
UACGUAGGUGGCGAGCGUUAUCCGGAAUUAUUGGGUUUAAAGGGUGCGUAGGCGGUUCAGUAAGUUAGAGGUGAAGUCCCGUGGCUCAACCACGGACCUGCCUCUGAUACUGCUGGGCUAGAGAUUGGUUGCUGUGGGCGGAAUGUGUGGUGUAGCGGUGAAAUGCUUAGAGAUCGGGAGGAAUACCAGUGGCGAAGGCGGCCUUCUGGACUGACACUGACGCUGAGGUGCGAAAGCGUGGGUAGCAAACAGGAUUAGAUACCCU